GUGCGCCAGCGCAGUCAGUUCCGUGAGCGCGCGACAGCCCGGUCGACGCACGAGUCGGAGUAGUAGCGCCGCGAAUAUUCUCCUAUGCGCUAUCGUUCAGUGUGAUUGUCCAUUGGAUGUUGCCGUGUACAAUGCAGUGAGUGAGCACCGGCCGAGCGUCGGUCAUGUGCCCGUGCCGGCGAUCGCUUGACCUGUCCUCCCGGAGCUUGACCUUUCAAGAUAUAAAAAAUCAGAAGUGGAUGACGGAUAAUUUUAUUUGGACAACCCUAUUCAAGAUGGAUAUCCUAUGACCCCGUUAGAGAAAACAAAAGUGAGACUAUACUUAUCAGGUAAUUAGGUCACGCUGAAACUGUGGCGCGAUGACACGGGCACGAGGCGAGCGACGUGUGCGGCGGACGUCGGGGGCAGAGCGGUUCCCGCCAAAACGAGCGCAGGCUGUGGCGCGAAGUGUUGCGAUUGGCCGGGGAGGCGCGCGGCGGCGGCGCGGGCGCAAGGCCGCCGGUUUUCCCGCCAACAAUGCCUAAUGGUGCAUUUGUCAAGGUGAGUUCGUUCACCGCCGACGCCGGCGCCGCGCGCGCUGCUCAGACAAUCGCUCAGUCGUUGCGCGCCAAACGAAGGUCGACGGAAGGCUGCUGCCCGCUCGCUCCCAACUCCGAAGAUACUCAUUAUCAUACACUCUUUAUUGCAGGUGAAGUUAUUUCUGUUUUUUUUUCAUGUAACAUUUUACCAUUAUUAAUUACAUUAUACAAUACUUUCAUAUUAUAUUAUAUUCAAGUCGUUUUAAACUCGUAUUACUUAUGUAGUUAUGUGUAAUAUUUUGAUUAGUUUAUUUCUAUGAUCUUAGUUUUGAUCUUAAUGCAGUAAGAUAGGUAAUUAAGAAAAUUGUAUUAUGUAAUCAGCCAGUAAGUAAU